UGGCUUAGUGGUUAAAGUACUACGGCUGCUAACCAAGAGAUUGGCAGUUCGAAUCUGCC
rnacentral:tRNA from 1 species